CGCGUGAUAGCUGAGGUCUCCCCUUCUGGUGUUGACAAAGUGAAAGCCGGCAGCGAGCAGAAAGGCGAAGCGAUCUGAACACCGGAAGCGAAGCCACAAGUAUAGAGGCGGUUUCAAAAUAUCAUUAUCGUUGGCGGGAAGAUGGCGGCUGCCCAUACACUUUCGAUAUCGACUGCUUUAUGUACUGCCACAUUGACUACCCCAAGCGGUUGGGUUGUCCUAGGAGUCGUUGGUGCAGUGUGUGUAACUGUUGCAGUAGUAACUGUUGUGGUUGAGAAGCGGCGAAAAGAAGGAAAGAGAAAACAAAACUGAUCAGACUCGAAUACUUGUUAACAUAAAAUUUAGAUGUCAAUGGCGUUCUGAAUAGCAAGUUACUUUUUUAUCUUCAAAAAUUUUUAUUUUGUCGCUUUAAAUGUUACUUCAUAUGAUGAAUAUAAAAAACAGAACUGAUCAGACUAGUGUACUUGUCAAAAUACGAUUUAGAUGGAAAGGAUAGACUGUAUAUCAAAAUGAUUUUCUGUCAUUAAAUAGUAGUGUUUAGUGGUGUUUAAUUAAAUUUUUCAUAAAGCAUUGCAAAAUAAAAUUAUGAAAUCGGUUGGUAUAAAUGUUUCUCUGAUUGUGUAAUGGAGUCCUGUCAAUUCUCAUGUCU